AUAUUGUGAAGACCAACUUCUGCGAAAGCAUUUGCCAAGAAUGUUUUCAUUAAUCAAGAAUGAAAGUCGGAGUUCCGAAGACGAUCAGAUACCAUCGUAGUUCUGACC